rnacentral:rRNA from 1 species
AGAGUUUGAUCCUGGCUCAGGACGAACGCUGGCGGCGUGCCUAAUACAUGCAAGUAGAACGCUGAAGGAGGAGCUUGCUUCUCUGGAUGAGUUGCGAACGGGUGAGUAACGCGUAGGUAACCUGCCUGGUAGCGGGGGAUAACUAUUGGAAACGAUAGCUAAUACCGCAUAAGAGUGGAUGUUGCAUGACAUUUGCUUAAAAGGUGCACUUGCAUCACUACCAGAUGGACCUGCGUUGUAUUAGCUAGUUGGUGGGGUAACGGCUCACCAAGGCGACGAUACAUAGCCGACCUGAGAGGGUGAUCGGCCACACUGGGACUGAGACACGGCCCAGACUCCUACGGGAGGCAGCAGUAGGGAAUCUUCGGCAAUGGACGGAAGUCUGACCGAGCAACGCCGCGUGAGUGAAGAAGGUUUUCGGAUCGUAAAGCUCUGUUGUAAGAGAAGAACGAGUGUGAGAGUGGAAAGUUCACACUGUGACGGUAUCUUACCAGAAAGGGACGGCUAACUACGUGCCAGCAGCCGCGGUAAUACGUAGGUCCCGAGCGUUGUCCGGAUUUAUUGGGCGUAAAGCGAGCGCAGGCGGUUAGAUAAGUCUGAAGUUAAAGGCUGUGGCUUAACCAUAGUAGGCUUUGGAAACUGUUUAACUUGAGUGCAAGAGGGGAGAGUGGAAUUCCAUGUGUAGCGGUGAAAUGCGUAGAUAUAUGGAGGAACACCGGUGGCGAAAGCGGCUCUCUGGCUUGUAACUGACGCUGAGGCUCGAAAGCGUGGGGAGCAAACAGGAUUAGAUACCCUGGUAGUCCNACGAGAUAAAACGUCUAUGCGUUAUCAAACUCAUUACCAAUUGAAACAAAAAACUGUGGUUAGAGCCUUUCGGAAAUCGUCAAGCGAUUGGAGGAAAUGAACUAAUCCACAGCGGCUUAUUCCAAGUAUACCACUUGGGCUUUGGCAGUAGCUAACUGCGCUAAAUAUAAUAUAAGGAGAAAUAGAUGGAUUUAUGGUUUUCUGAAGUUCAUACUCCAGAUGUCAAAUUGUCUCUGAGAACAGCCAAGCAACUUUACGCUGGAAAAAGUGAAUGGCAGGAUAUCGAAGUCUUGGAUACGCCAGCUUUUGGGAAAAUACUGAUUUUAAAUGGCCAUGUCUUGUUCUCAGAUGCGGAUGAUUUCGUCUACAAUGAAAUGACCGUUCACGUUCCCAUGGCUGUCCA